rnacentral:rRNA from 1 species
UAAUACGUAGGUGGCAAGCGUUGUCCGGAUUUAUUGGGCGUAAAGCGCGCGCAGGCGGUCCUUUAAGUCUGAUGUGAAAUCUUGCGGCUCAACCGCAAGCGGUCAUUGGAAACUGGGGGACUUGAGUGCAGAGGAGGAAAGCGGAAUUCCACGUGUAGCGGUGAAAUGCGUAGAGAUGUGGAGGAACACCAGUGGCGAAGGCGGCUUUCUGGUCUGUAACUGACGCUGAGGCGCGAAAGCGUGGGGAGCAAACAGGAUUAGAUACCCUGGUAGUCCACGCCGUAAACGAUGAGUGCUAAGUGUUGGAGGGUUUCCGCCUUUCAGUGCUGCAGCUAACGCAUUAAGCACUCCGCCUGGGGAGUACGGUCGCAAGACUGAA